UUUUACUAUUAAAGAUGUCAACACAACGAUAUCUUUAAGAUGUAAUCAAAUACAAAAGGUAUAUGAAGCAAUACGGUGGAUACAUAAGCCAAUAACUCUUAUCAUCAUGCAUGCGAAUGCACGACUGUUUGACUUUGGAUGGGGUCACAAGUUACUUCGUGAUUUGAAAUUCAUUAUUUUUGUUAAGAAAAAUCAAAAUCAAUGCACGUUCAAAAGGAUUUUUUUAUAAACGCGUAAUCUGUUGGCGUGCCAUUGUUUUUGCCCUUGAAUUUUGGGAAUCAUCUGAGACAUUCCAACGGUACUAAUGGUGUUCCCCAAAGCGGGCUGUUGCGCAGGCGGGGCCGACGACGAUCUCGGUACGUUAUGUUGAUCCACCAUGCCCGUCCUUUGGACCACAAUGUACUGACUUACUGUACCAACCUAAUUGUUCCCGUUGCGCCUCACUAAAGGACUAAUAUCAUACCUACAGAUUACUACUCACUCACUUCGGGACUAAGGGCGGAUCCUUGCGGUAGAACGGCCAUCGUCACGGGGAUUCCUUGACCGGAAGUGGUGAACACGUGUC